UCAAGUCCUCAUGGCCCUUACGGGCUGGGCUACACACGUGCUACAAUGGCGGUGACAAUGGGCAGCGAAAGGGCGACCUGGAGCUAAUCCCCAAAAGCCGGUCUCAGUUCGGAUUGCAGGCUGCAACUCGCCUGCAUGAAGGUCGGAGUCGCUAGUAAUCGCAGAUCAGCAACGCUGCGGUGAAUACGUUCCCGGGCCUU
rnacentral:rRNA from 1 species